UAUUAUUCCAAGAUGACUUAUAAAUCCUAGGUUAGUAGUAGUUAUUUACUUAAAAGCUAAAAAAUUUGGCGGUAAUUUAAUCUUCUCAGAGGAACUUGUUUUUUAAUCGAUAAUCCUCGAAAUAUCUUGCUUAUUUAAUUAAAAGUUUGUAUACCAUCAUUAUCAGGUAAUUUUUAAAAAAUAAAUUACUAAAAUUAAAUAGUUAAAAAAAUUAGAUCAUGGUGCAGCUAAUGAAUAAGUUAAAAUGAGUUACAAUAAAAUUUUUUAUACGAAUAAAUAAAAGAAUAUUUGUUUAGAAGGUGGAUUUGGUAGUAUCUUGAUUUUAAUAUGGUUAAGAGAUGAUAGCUCUAAAUUAUGUACAUAU
rnacentral:rRNA from 1 species